GGGGAUUUAGCUCAGUGGUAGGGCGCUUGCCUAGAAAGCGCAAGGCCCUGGGUUCGGUCCCCAGCCCCCCCA
rfam:Rattus norvegicus chromosome 20, whole genome shotgun sequence.